CCCCAAUCCCUCACCCCACAGCCACAGAUCCAUCCCUCAGCCCACGGGUCCAUCCCUCACCCACAGCCACGGGUCCAUCCCUCAGCCCAUGGGUCCGGGGAUUUUAUCCCACAUCCCUCAGCCCACAGAUCCACGGAUCCAUCCCUCAGCCCACAGGUCCAUACCCAAACCAUGGAUCCAUCCCUCAGCCCACGGGUCCGGAGAUUUUAUCCCUCAUCCCUCACCCCACAGAUCCACGGAUCCAUCCCUCAGCCCACAGAUCCACAGAUCCAUCCCUCAGCCCACAGGUCCAUACCCAAACCAUGGAUCCAUCCCUCAGCCCACGGAUCCAUGGAUCCAUCCCUCAACCCACAGGUCCGGAGAUUUUAUCCCUCAUCCCUCACCCCAUAGAUCUGUGGAUCCAUGGAUCCAUCCCUCACCCUACAGAUCCAUCCCCAAUCCACGGAUCCAUCCCUCACCCCACAGCCACGGGUCCAUCUCUCAGCCCACGGGUCCGGGGAUUUUAUCCCUCAUCCCUCAGCCCACGGAUCCAUGGAUCCAAUCCAUGGAUCCAAUCCAUGGAUCCAUCCCUGAUGCCACAGAUCCAUGGAGCCACCCCACACACCACAGAUCCAUCCCUAAACCAUGGAUCCAUCCCUCACCCCACAGCCACAGGUCCGUGGAUCCAUUCCUAAUCCCUCACGCCAGAGCCACAGGUCCAUCCCUCAGCCCACGGGUCCGGGGGUUUUAUCCCUCAUCCCUCAGCCCACGGAUCCAUCCCCAAUCCAUGGAUCCAUCCCUCAGCCCACGGGUCAGGGGAUUUUAUCCCUCAUUCCUCACCCCAUUGAUUCAGGGAUUCAUCCCUCACCCCACAGCCACGGGUCCAUCCCUCAGCCCACGGGUCCGGGGGUUUUAUCCCCCAUCCCUCACCCCACAGAUCCAUCCCUCAACCCACGGGUCCAUCCCUCACCCCACAGCCACAGAUCCAGCCCUCAGCCCAUGGGUCCGGGGAUUUUAUCUCUCAUCCCUCACCCCACAGAUCCACGGAUCCAUCCCUCAGCCCACAGGUCCAUACCCAAUCCAUGGAUCCAUCCCUCAGCCCACAGAGCCACGGAUCCAUGGAUCCAUCCCUCACCCACAGCCACAGAUCCAUCCCUCAGCCCACAGGUCCAUACCCAAACCAUGGAUCCAUCCCUCAGCCCACGGGGCCGGGGGUUUUAUCCCACAUCCCUCAGCCCACGGAUCCAUCCCCAAUCCAUGGAUCCAUCCCUCAGCCCACAGAGCCGUGGGUUCAUCCCACAUCCCACAGCCAUGGGUCCACGGACCCACAGACCCAUGGAUUUUAUCCGUCAUGCCUCACCCCACAGCCACGGAUCCAUCCCCCAUCCCUCACCCCACAGAUCUGUGGAUCCAUGGAUCCAUCCCUGAUCCCUCACCCCAUAGCCACGGGUCCAUCCCUCAGCCCACGGGUCAGGGGAUUUUAUUCCUCAUUCGUCACCCCACAGAUCCGUGGAUCCAUCACUAAUCCCUCAUCCCACAGCCACAGAUCCAUCCCUCAGCCCACGGGUCCGGGGAUUUCAUCCCUCAUUCCUCACCCCAUUGAUUCAGGGAU
rnacentral:lncRNA from 1 species